GUCUACGGCCAUGCCACCCUGAACAAGCCCGAUUCCGUCUGAUCUUGGAAGCUAAGCCGGGUCGAGCCUGGUUAGUACUCGAAUGGGAGACCACGUAGGAAGACCAGGUGCUGUAGGUG
rnacentral:rRNA from 1 species